rnacentral:rRNA from 1 species
UACGGAGGGUGCGAGCGUUAAUCGGAAUAACUGGGCGUAAAGGGCACGCAGGCGGGUUUUUAAGUGAGAUGUGAAAUCCCCGGGCUCAACCUGGGAAUUGCAUUUCAGACUGGCAAGCUAGAGUACUUUAGGGGGGGGUAGAAUUCCAGGUGUAGCGGUGAAAUGCGUAGAGAUCUGGAGGAAUACCGAUGGCGAAGGCAGCCCCUUGGACAUGGACUGACGCUCAGGUGCGAAAGCGUGGGGAGCAAACAGG